rnacentral:rRNA from 1 species
UACGGAGGGUGCAAGCGUUAAUCGGAAUUACUGGGCGUAAAGGGUGCGUAGGUGGUUGUAUAAGUUAACUGUGAAAUCCCCGGGCUCAACCUGGGCAGGUCAGUUAAGACUGUAUGACUCGAGUAUGGGAGAGGGUAGUGGAAUUUCCGGUGUAGCGGUGAAAUGCGUAGAGAUCGGAAGGAACACCAGUGGCGAAGGCGGCUACCUGGCCCAAUACUGACACUGAGGCACGAAAGCGUGGGGAGCAAAC